AGCUCUCCGAGUGGUGUGGAUGUUUAUUGGGCCUAAAGCAUCCGUAGCUGGCCAAGUUAGUCCCUUGUUAAACCCACCGAAUUAAUCGUUGGAUUGCGGGGGAUACUGCUCGGCUAGGGGACGAGAGAGGCAGACGGUAUUUUCGGGGUAGGGGUGAAAUCCUAUAAUCCCGGGAAGACCACCAGUGGCGAAGGCUGUCUGCUAGAACGCGCCCGACGGUGAGGGAUGAAAGCUGGGGGAGCGAACC
rnacentral:rRNA from 1 species